CAGGCCAGGUUCCUGAGAGCAGACAGCGCGGGCGGGGAGCGCCGGCAAGGGCGGCCCUCGCGCGCCUGGCUGCCAGCCCGCAGGGGGCUCACACGCAGACCUGCCCUUGCCACCUCAGCGCUCGGGUGCGGGCUGGGGGCGGUGGAGCCAGGAAAGGUGGUGCGGAGAGCGGAGCGCAGGACAGCGCAAGAGCCCCGGCGCAGCGCGGCGCGCACAGACCCAGGAUUUGUGAAGAGGUGACCCAAAUUUCAGGACAAUGUUGGAUGCAAACGGAUUUGCCAGCAAUUGCGUCACUGUCAAAACCAGCUCUGCCCGUGUCUUCCGAAGAUACCAAGUGAAAUACGUGUAGAUGGGAUUUACAUCUGAAAAACCAAGGCAAGAGGCCAUGGGAAGGGAUGGAGGUGGAACAGGACCGGACAGAAGCUGAUAAAUGGUUGUUGCUGAGUACCGGGCAGAUAGGGGUUGGUUAUUCUAUUUUCUUUACUUUCAUAUAUUUUAUUUUUUCUGUAAUAAAACAAAUUAAAAUCACCUGUCUUGAUCUCACAGGGGCCAAUGUGGGUUGUGGCCUGAGGCAGGAAGCUCUGCAGAGUUCCUUGGUCAAAAGGAUUAAUUACAAAAGAACUCCACGAACACCGAGAAGAAAAGGGAAUCCUGGACAUUUAAAGCCACAAAGAAACUUGAUAUGGUCUUGUCUCCUUCUCUCAACUGACAAUGAGAAACUGAAGACAAGAGAGGGUGAGUGGCUUACCCAGUUUGGCACAACUGACCCCAACCUAGCCCUCCUUGAGGACUGAGUGCAUGAGAGAUCCUGAGCCACAGCCUCCCAGCCCUGCUCCUCUCGAAUUUCUGACCUACAGGAACUGCAAGAAGUAAUGAAAGACUGCUGUUUAAAGCCACUGCAUUUUGGCAUGAUUUGUUAUGCAGUCAUAGGUAACCAGAAAACAUCGGAUUUACAUUU
rnacentral:lncRNA from 1 species